ACGGGAGGCAGCAGUGGGGAAUAUUGCACAAUGGGGGAAACCCUGAUGCAGCGACGCCGCGUGAGUGAAGAAGUAUUUCGGUAUGUAAAGCUCUAUCAGCAGGGAAGAAGAUGACGGUACCUGCACAAGAAGCCCCGGCUAACUACGUGCCAGCAGCCGCGGUAAUACGUAGGGGGCAAGCGUUAUCCGGAUUUACUGGGUGUAAAGGGAGCGCAGACGGCAGUGCAAGUCUGAAGUGAAAGGCUGGGGCUCAACCCCGGGACUGCUUUGGAAACUGUACUGCUAGAGUACCGGAGGGGUAAGCGGAAUUCCUAGUGUAGCGGUGAAAUGCGUAGAUAUUAGGAAGAACACCGGUGGCGAAGGCGGCUUACUGGACGGAAACUGACGUUGAGGCUCGAAAGCGUGGGGAGCAAACAGGAUUAGAUACCCUGGUA
rnacentral:rRNA from 1 species